AUUGAACGCUGGCGGCACGCCUAACACAUGCAAGUCGAGCGGCAGCGAGACUAGUAGCAAUACUAGUUGUCGGCGAGCGGCGGACGGGUGAGUAACACGUAGGAAUCUGCCCUUAAGCGGGGGAUAACCAAGGGAAACUUUGGCUAAUACCGCAUAAUCUCGAGAGAGCAAAGCUGCCCGCAAGGGUGGCACUUGAGGAGGAGCCUGCGUCCGAUUAGCUAGUUGGUGGGGUAAUGGCCUACCAAGGAGAUGAUCGGUAACUGGUCUGAGAGGACGACCAGUCACACUGGGACUGUGACACGGCCCAGACUCCUACGGGAGGCAGCAGUGGGGAAUAUUGGACAAUGGGGGCAACCCUGAUCCAGCGAUGCCGCGUGAGUGAAGAAGGCCUUCGGGUCGUAAAGCUCUUUAGGUUGGGAAGAAGGGUAUUGGCUGAAUAAUCCAGUACUUUGACGGUACCGACAGAAUAAGCACCGGCAAACUCUGUGCCAGCAGCCGCAGUAAAAC
rnacentral:rRNA from 1 species